UACAGAGGUCCCAAGCGUUGUUCGGAUUCACUGGGCGUAAAGGGUGCGUAGGCGGUCGGGUAAGUCUGAUGUGAAAUCUCCGGGCCUAACCCGGAAACUGCGUUGGAGACUGCCUGGCUAGAGGAAUGGAGGGGAGACUGGAAUACUUGGUGUAGCAGUGAAAUGCGUAGAUAUCAAGUGGAACACCAGUGGCGAAGGCGAGUCUCUGGACAUUAACUGACGCUGAGGAGCGAAAGCAUGGGGAGCGAACAGG
rnacentral:rRNA from 1 species